GAGUUUGAUCCUGGCUCAGAACGAACGCUGGCGGCAUGCUUAACACAUGCAAGUCGAACGCUCUAGCAAUAGAGAGUGGCAGACGGGUGAGUAACACGUGGGAAUCUGCCUUAAGGUACGGAACAACAGAGGGAAACUUCUGCUAAUACCGUAUGUGCCCUUCGGGGGAAAGAUUUAUCGCCUUAAGAUGAGCCCGCGCAAGAUUAGCUAGUUGGUGGGGUAAAAGCCUACCAAGGCUACGAUCUUUAGCUGGUCUGAGAGGACGACCAGCCACACUGGGACUGAGAUACGGCCCAGACUCCUACGGGAGGCAGCAGUGGGGAAUAUUGGACAAUGGGGGAAACCCUGAUCCAGCAAUGCCGCGUGAGUGAUGAAGGCCUUCGGGUUGUAAG
rnacentral:rRNA from 1 species